UACGGGGGGAGCAAGCGUUGUUCGGAUUUACUGGGCGUAAAGGGCGCGUAGGCGGUAGCACAAGUCAGUUGUGAAAUCUCCGGGCUUAACUCGGAAAGGUCAACCGAUACUGCGGGGCUAGAGUGCAGAAGGGGCAACUGGAAUUCUCGGUGUAGCGGUGAAAUGCGUAGAUAUCGAGAGGAACACCUGCGGCGAAGGCGGGUUGCUGGGCUGACACUGACGCUGAAGCGCGAAAGCUAGGGGAGCGAACGGG
rnacentral:rRNA from 1 species